rnacentral:rRNA from 1 species
GACGAACGCUGGCGGCGUGCCUAAUACAUGCAAGUAGAACGCUGAAGGAGGAGCUUGCUUCUCUGGAUGAGUUGCGAACGGGUGAGUAACGCGUAGGUAACCUGCCUGGUAGCGGGGGAUAACUAUUGGAAACGAUAGCUAAUACCGCAUAAGAGUAGAUGUUGCAUGACAUUUGCUUAAAAGGUGCAAUUGCAUCACUACCAGAUGGACCUGCGUUGUAUUAGCUAGUUGGUGAGGUAACGGCUCACCAAGGCGACGAUACAUAGCCGACCUGAGAGGGUGAUCGGCCACACUGGGACUGAGACACGGCCCAGACUCCUACGGGAGGCAGCAGUAGGGAAUCUUCGGCAAUGGACGGAAGUCUGACCGAGCAACGCCGCGUGAGUGAAGAAGGUUUUCGGAUCGUAAAGCUCUGUUGUAAGAGAAGAACGAGUGUGAGAAGUGGAAAG